AAACAAAAACAAAAAAAACAACCGGAACAUCUGUCCACGUGACCCGAUUAAGCGCUGCGGUCGACCUUUAAUACCACUUCCUGUUUCCGCGAGCGCAAUUUAAGUUGUUUGUUGUAGCGACACCUCGACGCAUAGAAACGUCAGACAAAACCUAUAAACGCUAGUAGUCGGUGAUAGUCGAUACUUUCAAAUUCACCCGCAACAACUGAGGCAUCGUUUUAAUGUGGACGAGUCUUUACGUUGAAGAAUUUCCUGAGGCUGCAGAUGUUCCAGAUAAACCAAGAAGAAGAAGGAAAAAAAAUGGCAGAGGAACGUUGGUUAAUUCCUGGCAUGUGGUGCCUCGCCCUUGGGUCCAGAGCAGACUGAGCCGUGGUCACCCUGGUUUGGUCAGUGUUAUUCAUGCUGUUCAAAGUGACCACAAGCAGCAGGAAGCAUCGGAGAGGAGAGAAAGACAAACAGGAGCUGGAUUUGAGUCACUUCGUCCUGGUCCUGGUUCUGGUUCUGCUGCAGGUUCAGACUCACAGCAGCAGCAGUGGCAGUUUGUAAAAAGUCAUGAAAGUUAAACAGAGCGUGAAAAACAAGCAGCCACUUCAGAGGCUGAGAGACGUUGGUGUUUGACGUCUUCGUCCCGAGACUCAGGAGUGGAUGAGGUCAUGAGAGGAAGCAGCGAUGAGAAGAUAGAAGGGUGGAGGAGAGAGGAGGAGCAGGAGGGGUGGGGCGGGGGGCAACUGGGAGGAGAAGCAGGAGUUUAAAGACUUGAAAG